GAUGAACGCUGGCGGCGUGCCUAAUACAUGCAAGUCGAGCGAACAGACGCGGAGCUUGCUCCUCUGACGUUAGCGGCGGACGGGUGAGUAACACGUGGAUAACCUACCUAUAAGACUGGGAUAACUUCGGGAAACCGGAGCUAAUACCGGAUAAUAUAUUGAACCGCAUGGUUCAAUAGUGAAAGACGGCUUUGCUGUCACUUCUAGAUGGAUCCGCGCCGCAUUAGCUAGUUGGUAAGGUAACGGCCUACCAAGGCGACGAUGCGUAGCCGACCUGAGAGGGUGAUCGGCCACACUGGAACUGAGACACGGUCCAGACUCCUACGGGAGGCAGCAGUAGGGAAUCUUCCGCAAAGGGCGAAAGCCUGACGGAGCAACGCCGCGUGAGUGAUGAAGGUCUUCGGAUCGUAAAACUCUGUUAUUAGGGAAGAACAAAUGUGUAAUUAACUAUGCACGUCUUGACGGUACCUAAUCAGAAAGCCACGGCUAACUACGUG
rnacentral:rRNA from 1 species